UGGGGAAUAUUGCACAAUGGACGGAAGUCUGAUGCAGCAACGCCGCGUGCGGGAUGACGGCCUUCGGGUUGUAAACCGCUUUUUCUCAUGACGAAGUUUUUUGACGGUAGUAGGGGAAGAAGCACCGGCUAACUACGUGCCAGCAGCCGCGGUGAUACGUAUGGUGCGAGCGUUGUCCGGAAUUAUUGGGCGUAAAGAGCUUGUAGGCGGUUUGUCGCGUCGAUAGUGCAAACUCAGUGCUUAACGCUGAGCCUGCUGUUGAUACGGGCAGACUAGAGGAAGGUAGGGGAGAAUGGAAUUCCCGGUGGGGCGGUGGAAUGCGCAGAUAUCGGGAGGAACACCGGUGGCGAAGGCGGUUCUCUGGGCCUUUCCUGACGCUGAGAAGCGAAAGCGUGGGGGGCGAACAGG
rnacentral:rRNA from 1 species